GCCCGGUUAGCUCAAUCGGUAGAGCGUGAGACUCUUAAGCUUGCUUGGUAUCUCAAGGCUGCGGGUUCGACCCCCGCAUCGGGCU